rnacentral:snRNA from 1 species
AUCGCUUCUCGGCUUAUUGGCUAAAGAUCAAAGUGUAGUUUCUGUUCUUUAGAGAUUAAUUCCUCUAACGUAGGCAUUGGUCUACUAAGUAAUUAAUCCGGUUUUUGAUGAUUCGGCCCAGUGCUGUCGUUCUUCACACGACGACUGGUCCACGCGUAGGCCUUGCGCUGCAGUACAGCAAGGAUCUGCGCAUCUAAU